UACGUAGGGUGCGAGCGUUAAUCGGAUUUACUGGGCGUAAAGCGUGCGCAGGCGGCCCGUUAAGACAAGUGUGAAAUCCCUGGGCUCAACCUAGGAAUUGCGCUUGUGACUGGCGGGCUCGAGUACGGUAGAGGGGGGUGGAAUUCCUGGUGUAGCAGUGAAAUGCGUAGAGAUCAGGAGGAACACCGAUGGCGAAGGCAGCCCCCUGGGCCUGUACUGACGCUCAUGCACGAAAGCGUGGGGAGCAAACAGG
rnacentral:rRNA from 1 species